GAUGAACGCUGGCGGCGUGCCUAAUACAUGCAAGUCGAGCGAACAGAUGAGGAGCUUGCUCCUCUGACGUUAGCGGCGGACGGGUGAGUAACACGUGGAUAACCUACCUAUAAGACUGGGAUAACUUCGGGAAACCGGAGCUAAUACCGGAUAAUAUAUUGAACCGCAUGGUUCAAUAGUGAAAGACGGUUUUGCUGUCACUUAUAGAUGGAUCCGCGCCGCAUUAGCUAGUUGGUAAGGUAACGGCUUACCAAGGCGACGAUGCGUAGCCGACCUGAGAGGGUGAUCGGCCACACUGGAACUGAGACACGGUCCAGACUCCUACGGGAGGCAGCAGUAGGGAAUCUUCCGCAAUGGGAAAGCCUGACGGAGCAACGCCGCGUGAGUGAUGAAGGUCUUCGGAUCGUAAAACUCUGUUAUUAGGGAAGAACAAAUGUGUAAGUAACUAUGCACGUCUUGACGGUACCUAAUCAGAAAGCCACGGCUAACUACGUG
rnacentral:rRNA from 1 species